GGGGGCGACUUGGCUUCGACGUGGGUAGCAAAACCUGAGGUGCAUGCCGAGGAUACAGAUUCCCUCGUAAAUCCAUCUGUACCAAGAUAGUUGCCAACGACGACAACUACGCACUCGCAGCUUAAUAACCUGUAGAGGCCAUCCGACUGGAGCCGUGCUUGUGCGUCCAGGUUCCGGGUGUCAUAUCUCACAAGCUUUGCGAUGAAGCUUGUUCGGGGUGGAUUCGCUAAAACUUAACCGGAAUCGCUGCUCUGAACGCCCUGUCGGUCGGGUAUCAGGCAGUUAAAUUUUAAUAGACUCGACUAAGCAUGUAGAGCCAAAGGCGGAGUGCUUGCGGACGCGGGUUCGAUUCCCGCCGCCUCCACCA
rnacentral:tmRNA from 1 species